UGGCUCAGUGGUAGAGUGCCUGCCUUGCAUGCAUGAGGUCCUGGGUUCGAUUCCUCAG
rnacentral:tRNA from 1 species